ACUCAGAUAAGCAGAAUAAUGCAGUUCCAUUUUACUUCAUCUAUUUCAGUAUCAAUUAAGAACGUCCUCCAGUCCCAUAUAUAUUUAUAUAUAAUUGACAUUGCUUUGAUACAAAAUACACCAUAUUAGAUAGCUAAGAACCCGUUUGAUAACAAUUUCCUUUUGUUGAGAUGUGAGGAAAGUAUUCGAAUGAAUGAUGGAUGAAAGAAGAGUGGUGGGGAGGGAGAGAAAUAAAUAAAGAAGAACGAAUAAAAACAAAACAACUUGGAAUAGUUUUUAGUUUUCCCUUUCUGUACCUGUAUUACACAUUUCAUCUACAUCUAUCAAACCAUUUUACCUUAGGCUGGCCGGUCAGAGGAGCCUGGUGAGAUGGCCGCCUAGGGUUCCCCAUCGAGCGAAGGUCCAUGUUAGUCUAGAACUAAUGUACUAAGUUAGGACUUUUUGUUUAUUGGCUUCUUGACUAUAAAACUACACGCAUAUUUACUUGUAAUUGCUCUUAUCACUCAGUCCCCUAAUAGGAUAGACUUAGAAAUAUGGUAGUGGCAAUUCAAGGUUGAUUUCAUGAGAGAAAUGAAGUAGCUUGGUACAAGUUCAAGGUAUGAUCACAUGCAUACAUUUCAUGCAUUUGCACUUGGGAUUUUCAUAUACGAUUUUUAUCACAAAUGGUCUUUGAAAUUGACCCUCACC
rnacentral:lncRNA from 1 species